UUUGGUGCCGUCAGCCUCUCACUUCCUAGUUGAAAGUGAUAUGUUCGUCAUGACAGGGAGAAUGAUGGGCCACUCCUUCCUUCAUGGUGGACCGUGCCUGUCUGGGCUCAGCCCUGCCUUUGCUCAUGUCCUGCUUGGAGGGAGUCCCGAAACUGCAACUGUAGCCCUAGAAGACUGUCCAGACCUGGACAUCCGGGAAACAAUCAGGCUUCUUCACGGUGAAUCCGAACUCUCUGAGGAAGAGGCAAAAAGAGUACAGGACUUGGCCUAUGCCUGGGACCUCCCUUGCCUGUCUAAUAAUAACAGGAGAUGGUUUUUCGAGAAAAUGUUGAUCCAUGCUGUCAUUGGACGUGUCACAAGACAAAUUAAACAGCUGAGACGUGGUCUUAGAGACACAAAUGUGGACCGUGCUGACCAAACGACCUGACACAGUGGCCCUGCUUUUCCCUAAAGAGGGAGCAGUGGAUUACAGCCCUGAGGUACUUCUGAAGCGCAUUACCUGGCCUCAUCAUGAUGAAGAAGAAGAUGAUGACAAUGAUUUUUCAGUUGACACCAUGUGCCACGUCAGGUUAUCUUCGACAGUUCAUUGAAAAUGGUAUGUGGACAGAGUAAACAUAUGCGAUAAACCGUGAAACAGUUGGUCAUCUAGUUAUCAUUACCUCUCCACAGCAACUUUUAAUGUAACUUGUAAAAUAAUUUAAUAUGUUUACUGCACAGCAUCACCGAAUGAAUUGAGAGAUCUGGUGAAAUUUUGGACUGGAUGGGAGAUUCUGCCAAGGACGAAUCUGUCCCUUGAGGUGGUCAAAGGCAGCUUCCCCACCGCCUCCACCUGUUACGAGACCCUGCGAAUCCCAGGGCAUUACAAAGACUACGCAUCUUUUAACCCUUGUGCUGCCUUCGGGUCACAUGACCCAAAGGUUCACAACGAACCAUCGUUGUAUUUACCCAAUUUUACCCAAUACAAAAACAAAUAUAUAUAAUUUUCUUUUAACCUUCGCAA